rnacentral:rRNA from 1 species
UCGGGUUGUAAAGCACUUUUGUCCGGAAAGAAAACCUCUUGGCUAAUAUCUAGGGGGGAUGACGGUACCGGAAGAAUAAGCACCGGCUAACUACGUGCCAGCAGCGCGGUAAUCGUAGGGUGCGGGCGUUAAUCGGAAUUACUGGGCGUAAAGCGUGCGCAGGCGGUUCGUUAAGACAGAUGUGAAAUCCCCGGGCUUAACCUGGGAACUGCAUUUGUGACUGGCGAGCUAGAGUAUGGCAGAGGGGGGUAGAAUUCCACGUGUAGCAGUGAAAUGCGUAGAGAUGUGGAGGAAUACCGAUGGCGAAGGCAGCCCCCUGGGCCAAUACUGACGCUCAUGCACGAAAGCGUGGGGAGCAAACAGGAUUAGAUACCCUGGUAGUCCACGCCCUAAACGAUGUCAACUAGUUGUUGGGGAUUCAUUUCCUUAGUAACGUAGCUAACGCGUGAAGUUGACCGCCUGGGGAGUACGGUCGCAAGAUUAAAACUCAAGGGAAUUGACGGGGACCCGCACAAGCGGUGGAUGAAUGUGGAUUAAUUCGAUGCAACGCGAAAAACCUUACCUACCCUUGACAUGGUCGGAACCUGGCUG